UACGGGGGGGGUAAGCGUUGUUCGGAAUUACUGGGCGUAAAGGGCUCGUAGGCGGCCAACUAAGUCGGACGUGAAAUCCCUCAGCUUAACUGGGGAACUGCGUCCGAUACUGGAUGGCUUGGAUUUGGGAGAGGGAUGCGGAGUUCCAGGUGUAGCGGUGAAAUGCGUAGAUAUCUGGAGGAACACCGGUGGCGAAGGCGGCAUCCUGGACCAAUAUUGACGCUGAGGAGCGAAAGCUAGGGGAGCAAACGGG
rnacentral:rRNA from 1 species